ACUACGGGCGGCUGCAGUGGGGAAUAUUGCACAAUGGGGGAAACCCUGAUGCAGCGACGCCGCGUGAGUGAAGAAGUAUUUCGGUAUGUAAAGCUCUAUCAGCAGGGAAGAAAAUGACGGUACCUGAUUAAGAAGCCCCGGCUAACUACGUGCCAGCAGCCGCGGUUAUACGUAGGGGGCAAGCGUUAUCCGGAUUUACUGGGUGUAAAGGGAGCGUAGACGGCAGCACAAGUCUGGAGUGAAAUGCCGGGGCUUAACCCCGGAACUGCUUUGGAAACUGUGCAGCUAGAGUGCAGGAGAGGUAAGUGGAAUGCCUAGUGUAGCGGUGAAAUGCGUAGAUAUUAGGAGGAACACCAGUGGCGAAGGCGGCUUACUGGACUGUAACUGACGUUGAGGCUCGAAAGCGUGGGGAGCAAACAGGAUUAGAUACCCCUGUAGUC
rnacentral:rRNA from 1 species